GUGAGGUGGAACUUUCAAUCAAGGCGCUCUUUAGAAGAAGCCACACGUCGCCAUGGUGCCGUCUGUGAUGUGGUCGAUGGUCAUCAUCUUGUGACGGCUGACGGACGGUAGUGGUUGCGGGAUGUGGAGUCCUUGCUGAUAUAUUCCAUCUGCAGAGUUCUCGCCAGUUUUCUGAAGCUGAGCCGUGAUUGGUUGUGACGUACCACUGUGAUGUCAUCAUCAGGCGACAGCAAGUGACAAAAUGGCCGCGCCAGGUGAGGGACCAAACCAGGCACAGCUUGCCAUGCUUGGAACUGCUUGGUGGAAAAACCGAAAAGAACUUGAGACUGUGAACAAAGAGCUUCUUCUGAAUAAAUGCAUGAAAGAAUGUUAUUCACAAAGUCAUGCAAUUACAGGCAACCUGCAACAGAGGGCGCUCUACAAAACCCCUGAACUUGCAACCUCAAAUUUCCCAUCAUGAUUGAACGGCAUGGAAAAAAUGUGGGCGCUUCAUCGGCCCGUGCGGGUCCAUUCACUGAUUCCUACGGUAGUGUGAGUGAUUUUGUGUUUGCUUUGUCAUACAGUUGAGUUUGCUCACGUCUGAGGAUCAGUUCACAGCAAUGUUUGAGAUUGUGCAACCAGUUUUUCUUUGAAUGCGUCACAAUCAGAGCGCCACACAAGCUCCCCUUGAGCUUUGUAUGGUGCCACACACACAGGCUCCUUCAUACUCAGUUCCCAUGAAAUUGCUUCUUCUUUUGCAGUCAAUGGCUUCAUUUGAGCUUGUGUGUGUGUGGUGACUGGUGGUUGGGGGUGAUGAAAAAGACAAAGAUUGGCAAAUAUUUGAUUUGGUUGAUUUUCUCCACCCCCCCCCCCCC